GGUAAGGCCUGUAGCUCAGCAGUAGAGCAUCUGCUUUGCAUUGAGAAGGUCCCAGGUUCAACCCCUGACCUCUCUA